UGCCCGUGUUCCUGGUUUCCAAAGUC
rnacentral:piRNA from 1 species